AAAUUGAAGAGUUUGAUCAUGGCUCAGAUUGAACGCUGGCGGCAGGCCUAACACAUGCAAGUCGAGCGGAAACGAGUUAUCUGAACCUUCGGGGAACGAUAAGGGCGUCGAGCGGCGGACGGGUGAGUAAUGCCUAGGAAAUUGCCCUGAUGUGGGGGAUAACCAUUGGAAACGAUGGCUAAUACCGCAUGAUGCCUACGGGCCAAAGAGGGGGACCUUCGGGCCUCUCG
rnacentral:rRNA from 1 species